rnacentral:rRNA from 1 species
GACGAACGCUGGCGGCGUGCUUAACACAUGCAAGUCGAACGGUGAUGCUCCAGCUUGCUGGAGUGGAUCAGUGGCGAACGGGUGAGUAACACGUGAGCAACCUGCCCCAGACUCUGGAAUAAGACUUGGAAACGCCGUCUAUUAUUGGAUACGAAACUGGCCGCCACGGGCAUGGUUUGGAAAGUUUUUCGGUUUGGGAUGGUCUCGCGGCCUAUCAGCUUGUUGGUGAGGUAAUGGCUCACCAAGGCGACGACGGGUAGCCGGCCUGAGAGGGCGACCGGCCACACUGGGACUGAGACACGGCCCAGACUCCUACGGGAGGCAGCAGUGGGGAAUAUUGCACAAUGGGCGAAAGCCUGAUGCAGCGACGCCGCGUGAGGGAUGACGGCCUUCGGGUUGUAAACCUCUUUCAGCAGGGAAGAAGCGAAAGUGACGGUACCUGCAGAAGAAGCACCGGCUAACUACGUG